AAAGGUUUCCAUGGAGGCAGACAGGGCAUGGCACAAUCAAGUGUCAGCCAUCUCCCAUCCUCCAAGGCACACACCAGAUUUGCAGGAGAGCGCAAGCCGGUGGUGGAGACCUACUGCUGGUGGAUCCAAUGCACCUAUGCUAAGGAUGGAAGCCUAGCUUGGAGGCAAAGGGCUUGGGCUGGUGGCCAGAUAUCCACAAGGAUAUGUCACAAAGGAAAGCUGGGACUGUGAUUUGGGAGCUUGAAGUCAAUACUUAAGUCAUCAGCAUGGACCAAGUUGAAGCCUGAGAAAAUCUGAAUAAGUGUAGAGGGAGAAGGGGGGCCAGGAUAAAGCUGUGAUGUUUAAGGUCCCUUCUAACCCAAGCUAUUCUGUGGUUCUAUGAAAGCUGGAAAGACAGCUAGGAUCCUACAGAGGAGAUGCUCACAGCUGGCAUGUCACCAGAGAGACACAGAAGCAGCCAGCCUAUACUGCUGGUGGGGCCUAGAUCAGACAGAAGGACAGCUAUUUCUGCCUGCAGAGGAGCAUCUGUAGCAGGUUGUACCAUGUACCUGAUAGGUACCAUUCUGGGCUUUCAGAUCCCACAGCCUUCCUCAAUGAAAACGGUGCUGUUUUGACAACCUGCUCCCCAGCCUCCUGCACUGCAAGCUGCAUGGAUUAUUAGUACAGCGUGUCAAAGUGAAUAUAUCAUGCAAACUUCGCCAACCCACACAGAUUAGAUGGGGUUCACCCUGCCUAGUGUAAGUUUGAUAGUGUAUGGGAAUUGUUGAUCACAGCCUGAACU